CUGCACCAGAUACUAACCUGCCUGUCUGCCCUGCAGUUUCUUUUAAACUGUCCAGUGCUGUGCGAUUGCUGGGUCACUCGGGUGCAAUAUCAACCCUUGCCAUGAGAUGUAAGCUCAGAGUGCAGAGAGGACACCCUGCGUUAAUCUUUUCAGUGCCUCUGCACAAACCAGAGGCACUGAA